UCGAAUGGCAUCUCGCAGGAUGGACAGGUUGAUCCACCUAACAUGCCCGUGGACUCCACCAGCGCUCGGAUCUGGGCCAGAUCUAUGGAACCUAGAACUCUAAAAUCAGCAACGAACCGUGUAACCGGAACACAAACUGUAUCUUAUCUCCGUUGAGUCUAAAUUCUCACGUUAUCGUCUACGAUAUGAUCCUGGGAGUGAAACGUUGCCCCCAAGAAGACGCAGACGUUCCCUAAGAAGAACUGUAAUAACAGUAAAAACGCUUGUUAACCAUUUUCGCGCGUGGUUCGAGAAUGGGAGGAAGGAGAGGCGAAACGGGAAAAAACGGUACGUCGAAGAGGCCGCGACUUCCUUGCGAGACGCAGAUCGAUGUUCCACUUAACAACGAGUUGGCGAGUUUGACAGCCAGAGAGACCAUCUGUCACGAAGAAUCUGCACAGGGCACACCGGUAUCUCGCUACCGCAAAUCAAUCGGUGUGUCUUUCUAAUCCUUCGAUUUACGACCUUAUUAUAUCCUUACUAUCAGGGGUAUCAAGAGGACCAUGAGGAUGUUAGAAACGGUUCGACGUUCGCGAAGAAGAGGUAGAAAACCCAGGAUGCGUUGAACGGGUCGAGCUAUGCAAAUUGUAGAUUAAUACGAUCAUGGUGAGCAGUUGAGGCAGUUAAGACGUGGGCGGUACCGUUGCGAUCACUCUGUGUAAUUGAACAGCUAGGGGCGAGAAUGCAACGAAUCUAGGUCCAUUAAAUGGCACAAUGGUCUAUGUUCCGAGAAACAUGAAGAUUUUUUGCUUAACCUCUUGUCCUAUGACCUUUCAGCGCCCGAGCGAACUUCGCUCGCUACAUAUUACAAGAACCUACUUGUUACAUAGAAAGAGUUAAUAGAGUUCUUUUGAGAACUAUUGAAAAUGCCACGAUACCGAUAUUAAAAGAACAUGUUAUGGAGAAACAGCAACUGAUGCUUGUCUACAGACUCCACCGCCCGUUAAAGUCUCUCCUAAGAGAACCAAACCUAUAAACGACGUUCCCCCAGUCAUGUUGGUGGUACGACGGUUCAUUCACAUAUACCGUAAUCCAGGACAACCUCUUGCCAACCUAAAGGCAACCUCUGGCAGCUGACCGAGUAGCUCGAGUCGAAGCGUGAUUUCGCGGGUUACACGGAUGGAAUGACGCGGCGAACGUUGAAAGAAGGAAGUAAUUCGGGUCGCACGACCCUUUAUCCCGGUAAGUCCACGUCGAGGCAGGUGCAACACACCGCCUGGGUUACCGUAAGCUGGGUCAACGCACCCAGGACAGACGCAGAGAGAGAGAGGAUCGCACAGUCGCUUCCACGGUAAACUCGUACAACGAUGUCGUUUUCUCCGGAGGCAUCACUGACUCACGCGUUUCCGCCGCGUGUAUAUCCAGUUUCCAUCCUCUCCGCAUCGGCAGUUCUCGCGAGAUUUAUAGACAGAAAGAGAGGAGUUCCGAGAGCCGAGGAGAAGUCGAAGGUCGAGGAAACGUCCAUAAGAUGUAUACUUUUUCCUUUCUUCCGUCUGGCAAUUUCUUCUCCGUUUCUGGCUAUGUAUAUUUAAUUAAUGGUGAUCUAGUGUCUCGUUAAUUGCGCCGGCUGUCUUGACGUACAAGUUAUACGCAUUAGGUUGGCGCAUAUUAAACUUCGUUUUAACACCACUUGGUUUAUUUGAAAUAUUAUACAUUUAAUCGAUAAUUUGCAGCUGAUUCAAUACACUUUCUCGAUAAUAUACCACGUUACGUUAUUUGAAAUUUAUAUAUAAACUGCGGAUAUUUACACAUUCGUAUAUAGCUAACUCCAUAAAUUGAAAGGCAGGGAAAAUGACGUUACAAAGGCUAAUUUUUAAUUUACCUUAAAAUUUAUUACUAU